CAAGUUGGAUCCCUUCUCUAAGGUGAUAUAAAGUUCUCAUACCUGUGAGUGACUAGUUGAGUAUUCUCCUUAAAAUGAAAAAAUGUCUUUUCAUUAAAAAUGAAUCAAAACAAACAUCUUUGUCAUUUUUACCACGAACUACGAGAUUUAGAUCCUCCAUUGCACUUUGUUGGUACAUAGGUAUAAGACUUGGAAAGUCUUGGCAAACACAAAAAUUAUAAAAAAAAAAUAUUUCUCUUCUCAUCUCCCCAAUCU
rnacentral:lncRNA from 1 species